rnacentral:rRNA from 1 species
GACGAACGCUGGCGGCGUGCCUAACACAUGCAAGUCGAACGGAAAGGCCCUGCUUUUGUGGGGUGCUCGAGUGGCGAACGGGUGAGUAACACGUGAGUAACCUGCCCUUGACUUUGGGAUAACUUCAGGAAACUGGGGCUAAUACCGGAUAGGAGCUCCUGCUGCAUGGUGGGGGUUGGAAAGUUUCGGCGGUUGGGGAUGGACUCGCGGCUUAUCAGCUUGUUGGUGGGGUAGUGGCUUACCAAGGCUUUGACGGGUAGCCGGCCUGAGAGGGUGACCGGCCACAUUGGGACUGAGAUACGGCCCAGACUCCUACGGGAGGCAGCAGUGGGGAAUAUUGCAAAAUGGGCGGAAGCCUGAUGCAGCAACGCCGCGUGCGGGAUGACGGCCUUCGGGUUGUAAACCGCUUUCGCCUGUGACGAAGCGUGAGUGACGGUAAUGGGUAAAGAAGCACCGGCUAACUACGUG